rnacentral:snRNA from 1 species
GGAGAAGAUGCAUGGCUCCUGAGCAAGGAUGACAUGCAAAUUCGUGAACUGUUUCAUAGUUUU